rnacentral:rRNA from 1 species
CCUACGGGCGGCAGCAGUGAGGAAUAUUGGUCAAUGGACGAGAGUCUGAACCAGCCAAGUAGCGUGAAGGAUGACUGCCCUAUGGGUUGUAAACUUCUUUUAUAUGGGAAUAAAAUGUUCCACGUGUGGGAUUUUGUAUGUACCAUAUGAAUAAGGAUCGGCUAACUCCGUGCCAGCAGCCGCGGUAAUACGGAGGAUCCGAGCGUUAUCCGGAUUUAUUGGGUUUAAAGGGAGCGUAGGUGGAUUGUUAAGUCAGUUGUGAAAGUUUGCGGCUCAACCGUAAAAUUGCAGUUGAAACUGGCAGUCUUGAGUACAGUAGAGGUGGGCGGAAUUCGUGGUGUAGCGGUGAAAUGCUUAGAUAUCACGAAGAACUCCGAUUGUGAAGGCAGUUCACUGGACUGCAACUGACACUGAGGCUCGAAAGUGUGGGUAUCAAACAGGAUUAGAUACCCGUGUAGUC